rnacentral:rRNA from 1 species
GAUGAACGCUGGCGGUGUGCCUAAUACAUGCAAGUCGAGCGAACAGACGAGGAGCUUACUCCUCUGACGUUAGCGGCGGACGGGUGAGUAACACGUGGAUAACCUACCUAUAAGACUGGGAUAACUUCGGGAAACCGGAGCUAAUACCGGAUAACAUGUUGAACCGCAUGGUUCAACAGUAAAAGACGGUCUUUCUGUCACUUAUAGAUGGAUCCGCGUCGCAUUAGCUAGUUGGUAAGGUAACGGCUUACCAAGGCAACGAUGCGUAGCCGACCUGAGAGGGUGAUCGGACACACUGGAACUGAGACACGGUCCAGACUCCUACGGGAGGCAGCAGUAGGGAAUAUUACGCAAUGGGCGAAAGCCUGACGGAGCAACGCCGCGUGAGUGAAGAAGGUCUUCGGAUCGUAAAACUCUGUUAUUAGGGAAGAAAAAAUGUGUAAGUAACUAUGCACGUCUUGACGGUACCUAAUCAGAAAGCCACGGCUAACUACGUG